rnacentral:rRNA from 1 species
AGGACCGUGUUGGACAGACCUCCGGUUUGCCGGUUGUACCGCCAGGUGCACCGCCGGGUAUCCGCGUCUGGAUUGGAUAAGCGCUGAAAGCAUCUAAGUGCGAAGCCAGCCGCAAGAUGAGGACUCCAUUGAGGGUCGUCACAGACGAUGACGUUGAUAGGGUGCAGGUGUAAAGACGGUGACGUCAAAGCCGAGCACUACUAAUUGCCCGAAGUCUUCCGCCG